rnacentral:rRNA from 1 species
UACGUAGGGCGCAAGCGUUGUUCGGAAUUACUGGGCGUAAAGGGCUCGUAGGCGGCCAACUAAGUCAGACGUGAAAUCCCUCGGCUUAACCGGGGAACUGCGUCUGAUACUGGAUGGCUUGAGUUUGGGAGAGGGAUGCGGAAUUCCAGGUGUAGCGGUGAAAUGCGUAGAUAUCUGGAGGAACACCGGUGGCGAAGGCGGCAUCCUGGACCAACACUGACGCUGAGUGAGCGAAAGCCAGGGGAGCAAACGGG